rnacentral:lncRNA from 1 species
AGACUGUCCGAGGUCUGGGCGCAGCCGGGCAGAGCGAGGCCGCGGGAGGCCGCCGGCCCCGGGUCACCGCCGCCGCCGGCCCCGCGGCGCCGCUGUCACUUCGGUCCCGCGACCCCAACUUUCCGCACAGUCGCGGAGCUGGAAGUUUCCGGGCUUCGCGGGCGCUGGGCUGGGUUUCAGCAGCGACGUCUGAGCUUGGCAACAAAGAGGGAAAGCAGGCCUGGAGAGGGAGGAAAGAAAGAAAGACAUGGAGAGCGGCCCGGCUACUUAGAAGUCUCCAGAACUUGAAAUUCCACCCAGAAGCUUUUUUUGGUCGUUUCUUCUUAAGUGGUAAACAGCCACCCCGACUCAGGAUGGAGCCCUUCCUGGUGUCUGCUUCCCACGGCUGGCUGGGGCACCUUCCUCCAGCACCUGCCUGUUUGAUAUCCCUCCCCAAAGGGUCUUGGGCAGAAUUUGGGGGGAGGGGGCAUGAAGUGGGCACAAGAUGCUGAAAGAUGGUGGACCCCAUGCAGGAGGGGCAGGCCUGGACUCAGAGGGGCUCCCUCUUGAACUGUCCCCUUGGUACACCCGUUUGUCGGCCACUGCAAGCGGAUCCCCUGUGUGUCUGUCCUGUGAGCAGAGGGACAGCUGGGACCCCUGGUGUCCAGGAAAAGCCCUGGACUCCAUACAGGGUCCAGGGCCCAGGCCCCCCUGUGCCCAGCCUGCACUGGCGCCCGCAGUAAACGUAGGACCGAGUCCUUGUGCUUUAGGGUGCUGCUCCCUGUGGGAGGCAGAAGGAUUCACGGGCCUUGCCCUAAACCUAAGCUCAGGCCUCCUCUUCCCUGGAGCUCCCUGGCUGCUGACACCUUCUCUGCCCUCUUGGCAGCGUCCUGGGGACAUGUCUGGGCUGGAGGAGGCAGCCGAGGGGCCCCAGGCCCAGGAACCUGCACAGUGGCCAAGCCCAGUCCCUCCCAGGGCCAUCUGAGCACUGGACCAGGAGCUGAGAGGCAUGGGGCACCAGCUGUCACUCGACCUUGGGACACCCCCGCCCUGCCCUGUUCAUCCGUUUGUCUGUCCUUCCUGCAAGAGGUGUUUAUGGAGAAAACUGACCCAGGCCUGCUAGUCCAGAGCUCUGUGAAAAGCUAGGAGAAUGGGGCUGUUGGUUUGUGUUUUAAAGAGAAAUGAGCGAGGGUGCCAUGGAGGGCAGGUUGUGGGGGGGGGAAUAUGUUGUCAUUUGUCUCACAGAAGUGGGCAGAGCUUCAAAGUGCUGGAGAGCCUCUCCCUUCAGUGGCUGUUUGUCCGUCCAGUGCUUUCUGCACGGCGAUUCUUUCUAGGGUCAGUCCUGGAGGGCCAGGCAGAGUUCGUGGAAGAGGCCACACCCUGGGGGCACCUGAGGUUGUCACCCUCCACCCACCUGGGAACUUCCGAACUUGCCAUGAGGCUGAGGACCUAGAGGAGGCCGGAGGUGGGCAGGUCAGGCGGGGCGGCGGGUGGAGCGGGCGUUCAGAGCCUCAGGUGUUUGUCAGCUUAAGCACGUUUGCCCUGCGGGAGGGAACCCUCGUUGACCCAAGCGGCCCUUGAUCAGAGGCCGGGCCCCUUCCAUGGAAGGGAAGCUGCUGGCUUUCUCCCACAGCCCCCUCACGGGAACUCCAUUCCUGAGCUGCGGUCGCUUUGUAUUUCUAGGACUGAAAAAUGCAUCCGGAGCUGUCUUCCUGAACGCUCAACCCAAGUGCUUUCUGAUGCGUGAUCACUGGUGCCCAAGUUGUCACCAGAUGGGAUGUCCCCUUGCUCCAUCAAAACUGCCAAGACCUUGUUCGGCCUGGCUUUAUGGGCCGGGAGCCUGCGCCGCCGCCCCUCGCUCUGGGCCCUCCUGUCCCUGUCUUAAAAUUCUUAAUCCUUUUUGAACGAGGGGCCCUACGCUUUCAUUUUGCAUUGGUCCCUGAGCUGUGUCCUAGUUUGGCUGCUGGUUAACAGCAGCGUAAAGUUAAAAAAAAAAACCAACCACCAUGAGUUGACGUUUCUUUUUUCUUAUGUUUUCUUUUUAAAAUUGUGAUGUUCUUUUUCUUUUUCUUUUUUUUUUUUUCCCUUCUCUUUUGGCCACCCCGUGGCAAAUGGAGUUCCCAGGCUGGAUCCUUAACCCGCUGUGCCCGGCUGGGGACGGAACCCGUGCUCCAGCGCUCCAGAGAUGCUGCCAAUUCCAUUGCACCACAGCAGGUAUCUCUCUUUUUAUAUUUCAUUUAUGAAAUUCUAUUUACAGAAGUAACUUCAGAUUCUGUCUAAACAAGAUAAGAUACUUAAUUGAAGAUCAUUGUGUUUGGGAAAAAUGUUCACCUUGGAGAGGCAGGAAGUUGUUAUGGAAAUAGCGCAGCUGCGAGAGCUGUCGAGUCACCCACGUUCAGCCCGCAGCUCUGCCGGGCGGGCGCUGUGUACCAGCCGACUCGGGGCCUCGGCUCCUGGGCAGGGGGGCAGAUGCGUCCACCUGUAGGGUGCCCUGAGGAGCCAGGACGGUGGGAGAGUUGGCCACAACACCUGGCAUAUACCAGAUAUGCAGUAAAAAUACCCUUGAUUGUUACAUUGUCUCAUUUGGCAUGAAGGCUCAGGUGCAGUCUGACCACUUUUAAUGAGCGUAUUUUGUCCCCUCUCCUUAUCAAACACCACACUGUUGUAGAAAGUUUGGCGACACAGAUCUAUAGAUAUAGCUAUGUAUCAAGAGAGAGAAAAAAAGCAAGCCUGUGUCUUUUAGUCCUUUAACUCCAAAGCCACCUUUGGCCGGUCACAUUACAGUUUAUUUUUUAAUUUUUAUGUAUUUAUUUAUUUUUGUCUUUUUCCAGGGCCUCACCCUUGGCAUAUGGAGAUUCCCAGGCUAGGGGUCUAAUCGGAGCUGUAGCUGCCGACCUACGCCGCAGCCACAGCAAUGCGGGAUCUGAGAUGCGUCUGCAACCUACACCAUAGCUCACGGCAACGCCAGAUCCUUAACCCACUGAUUGCGGCCAGGGAUUGAACCCGCAACUUUAUGGCUCCUAGUCGGAUUUGUUAACCCCUGAGCCACAACGGGAACUCCCAGUUUAUUUCUUUAUAUAAAUAGACAUACAGAUACAUCUUGUUUCACAAACUUUGUUCUUUUACCCCAUCGACUUACUUUUCAAUGGGAACCCUGGUGGGUGCCCACCGGAGAAUCUGAGCAAGACUAAUGACACCCACAUCUGGAACGAACCCCGACUGACCUCCCUGCAGCCGCAGUUUCACACACAGGUUUAAGCUCAAAGUCCUUACGGCCACCUGUUCCCGAGGACCAUAAAUGAUGACAUUAAAAUUUUUUUAAUUUAAUUUUUAAAAUUAAAAUUUUUUUCAUUUGUACAUUUUUGUGUAUGUGGCAGUGAUAAACACUCUACAUCACAAAAUGUCCUUUACCUGCACCUGCCUCUUCUUUCCCAUUUGCGACUUGGUUAAAGAAAAUAGUUUUC